rnacentral:rRNA from 1 species
UACGUAGGGAGCAAGCGUUGUCCGGAUUUAUUGGGCGUAAAGAGCUCGUAGGCGGUUCGGUAAGUCGGGUGUGAAAACUCUGGGCUCAACCCGGAGACGCCACCCGAUACUGCUGUGACUUGAGUCUGGUAGGGGAGCACGGAAUUCCUGGUGUAGCGGUGAAAUGCACAGAUAUCAGGAGGAACACCGGUGGCGAAGGCGGUGCUCUGGGCCAGUACUGACGCUGAGGAGCGAAAGCGUGGGUAGCGAACAGG